ACUGGCAUCACCUGGGAGCUUGUUAGAAAUGCAGGGUCUCAGGACCCACCCGGUCCAAUUGGACUAGAAUCUGUAUUUUUAAGCUCCCAGGUGAUGGAUAG
rnacentral:miRNA from 1 species